rnacentral:rRNA from 1 species
AUUGAACGCUGGCGGCAGGCCUAACACAUGCAAGUCGAGCGGAUGAAGGGAGCUUGCUCCUGGAUUCAGCGGCGGACGGGUGAGUAAUGCCUAGGAAUCUGCCUGGUAGUGGGGGAUAACGUCCGGAAACGGGCGCUAAUACCGCAUACGUCCUGAGGGAGAAAGUGGGGGAUCUUCGGACCUCACGCUAUCAGAUGAGCCUAGGUCGGAUUAGCUAGUUGGUGGGGUAAAGGCCUACCAAGGCGACGAUCCGUAACUGGUCUGAGAGGAUGAUCAGUCACAGUGGAACUGAGACACGGUCCAGACUCCUACGGGAGGCAGCAGUGGGGAAUAUUGGACAAAGGGCGAAAGCCUGAUCCAGCCAUGCCGCGUGUGUGAAGAAGGUCUUCGGAUCGUAAAGCACUUUAAGUUGGGAGGAAGGGCAGUAAGUUAAUACCUUGCUGUUUUGACGUUACCAACAGAAUAAGCACCGGCUAACUUCGU